GGCCUAACACAUGCAAGUCGAACGAGACCUAAGGCCUAACACAUGCAAGUCGAGCGCCUCGCAAGAGGAGCGGCAGACGGGUGAGUAACGCGUGGGAAUCUACCCAUCUCUACGGAACAACAGUUGGAAACGACUGCUAAUACCGUAUACGCCCCUUGGGGGAAAGAUUUAUCGGAGAUGGAUGAGCCCGCGUUGGAUUAGCUAGUUGGUGGGGUAAAGGCCUACCAAGGCGACGAUCCAUAGCUGGUCUGAGAGGAUGAUCAGCCACAUUGGGACUGAGACACGGCCCAAACUCCUACGGGAGGCAGCAGUGGGGAAUAUUGGACAAUGGGCGCAAGCCUGAUCCAGCCAUGCCGCGUGAGUGAUGAAGGCCUUAGGGUUGUAAAGCUCUUUCACCGGUGAAGAUAAUGACGGUAACCGGAGAAGAAGCCCCGGCUAACUUCGUGCCAGCAGCCGCGGUAAUACGAAGGGGGCUAGCGUUGUUCGGAAUUACUGGGCGUAAAGCGCACGUAGGCGGAUAUUUAAGUCAGGGGUGAAAUCCCAGAGCUCAACUCUGGAACUGCCUUUGAUACUGGGUAUCUCGAGUAUGGAAGAGGUGAGUGGAAUUCCGAGUGUAGAGGUGAAAUUCGUAGAUAUUCGGAGGAACACCAGUGGCGAAGGCGGCUCACUGGUCCAUUACUGACGCUGAGGUGCGAAAGCGUGGGGAGCAAACAGGAUUAGAUACCCUGGUAGUCCACGCCGUANACGAUGAAUGUUAGCCGUCGGGCAGUCUACUGUUCGGUGGCGCAGCUAACGCAUUAAACAUUCCGCCUGGGGAGUACGGUCGCAAGAUUA
rnacentral:rRNA from 1 species